rnacentral:lncRNA from 1 species
UGAUGUUUGAGGUGUGAAAGUGAUUGUGAAUCUUUUUCUGAUGAUUUUAACGUAAUACUCUUUUACUAAAGGAGAGUUGGUGGUGUUUUCAGCGUUGAAAUUAUGUAACAGAAGGAAACCAGGAACUGAAACGGUGAAUUUUGCAGAGGAAAGGUUAGUUGGUGAAGAGAAUGAAAAGAAAUGGAAACGUACCAUGUAAGUGUUGCUUGGAACGGUUUUGAAUUCAUAGGAAGAAUUGGAAAGGAAAAUUCUUGCUGUUUGAGGUGAAGGCACUGAUGAUUGACUGGUUUCUAUGGAGCUUUUGCUGAAACUUGUUUUAGGGUAGGAGUGGGAAGAAGAGAAAGAGAACUAAUGAAGAAUGUGUUGGAACAAAAUGUGUUUCACAAUAAACCUUAAUGAGUUUUGAUGAUAACAAGGUAUUAAAAAUUAUCAAUUGGUUAUUGCUAAUAAUUGUUC